GAUGAACGCUGGCGGCGUGCCUAAUACAUGCAAGUCGAGCGAACGGACGAGAAGCUUGCUUCUCUGAUGUUAGCGGCGGACGGGUGAGUAACACGUGGAUAACCUACCUAUAAGACUGGGAUAACUUCGGGAAACCGGAGCUAAUACCGGAUAAUAUUUUGAACCGCAUGGUUCAAAAGUGAAAGACGGUCUUGCUGUCACUUAUAGAUGGAUCCGCGCUGCAUUAGCUAGUUGGUAAGGUAACGGCUUACCAAGGCAACGAUGCAUAGCCGACCUGAGAGGGUGAUCGGCCACACUGGAACUGAGACACGGUCCAGACUCCUACGGGAGGCAGCAGUAGGGAAUCUUCCGCAAUGGGCGAGAGCCUGACGGAGCAACGCCGCGUGAGUGAUGAAGGUCUUCGGAUCGUAAAACUCUGUUAUUAGGGAAGAACGUAUGUGUAAGUAACUGUGCACAUCUUGACGGUACCUAAUCAGAAAGCCACGGCUAACUACGUG
rnacentral:rRNA from 1 species